rnacentral:rRNA from 1 species
UGAUGUGAAAGCCCCCGGCUCAACCGGGGAGGGUCAUUGGAAACUGGGGAACUUGAGUGCAGAAGAGGAGAGUGGAAUUCCAUGUGUAGCGGUGAAAUGCGUAGAUAUAUGGAGGAACACCAGUGGCGAAGGCGACUCUCUGGUCUGUAACUGACGCUGAGGCUCGAAAGCGUGGGUAGCAAACAGGAUUAGAUACCCUGGUAGUCCACGCCGUAAACGAUGAGUGCUAAGUGUUGGAGGGUUUCCGCCCUUCAGUGCUGCAGUUAACGCAUUAAGCACUCCGCCUGGGGAGUACGACCGCAAGGUUGAAACUCAAAGGAAUUGACGGGGACCCGCACAAGCGGUGGAGCGUGUGGUUUAAUUCGAAGCAACGCGAAGAACCUUACCAAGUCUUGACAUCCUUUGACCACUCUAGAGAUAGAGCUUUCCCUUCGGGGACAAAGUGACAGGUGGUGCAUGGUUGUCGUCAGCUCGUGUCGUGAGAUGUUGGGUUAAGUCCCGCAACGAGCGCAACCCUUAUUACUAGUUGCCAGCAUUCGGUUGGGCACUCUAGUGAGACUGCCGGUGACAAACCGGAGGAAGGUGGGGAUGACGUCAAAUCAUCAUGCCCCUUAUGACUUGGGCUACACACGUGCUACAAUGGAUGGUACAACGAGCAGCGAACUCGCGAGGGUAAGCGAAUCUCUUAAAGCCAUUCUCAGUUCGGAUUGUAGGCUGCAACUCGCCUACAUGAAGCCGGAAUCGCUAGUAAUCGCGGAUCAGCACGCCGCGGUGAAUACGUUCCCGGGUCUUGUACACACCGCCCGUCACACCACGAGAGUUUGUAACACCCAAAGUCGGUGAGGUAACCAUUUGGAGCCAGCCGCCUAAGGUGGGAUAGAUGAUUGGGGUGAAGUCGUAACAAGGUAGCCGUAUCGGAAGG